AGCAAUUCUGAGUUCAGAUCCCUAACACUCAUUUUUAAAGGGGGCUAGGGGUUGUACGUUUAUUAUCACAGUACUUGGGAAAGUCAGAGGUAGAAGAGCCCUGAAGCUCACUGGCCAGCUAGUCUACCUGGAUUUGUGAGCUCCAGGUUCAGUUAGGGAUCUUAUCUCAAAAAAGAUUGACCCAUGGUAAUCCAUACCUAUACAUGGAACAUACAAAGUAAGAAAAUAUAGAUUUCAUCUCAACAGUUAGAAAAAUAACACUUGAGUUUUUGAGUUUCUAGGAGACAAGAAUUGAAUUGAUGCUUGGAAUACUCGAGUAGGCCGCGUGACUGCUGUCUAGCUCCAGCAGCUCAUCUGAUAGAAAAGCAAUGAGGCAGAUGCCUAGCUGUUGUGAGGCUCAGGGAUGUUGUCUGCAGCCACUGCGUGUACCUUUAGUCUGAACUUUGGAAUAACACAUUAUUACUAGAGUAUUUGGUUUCACAGAGUAAAAAGGUUGACUUUUGGAUCUAGCCAGGCAGCUUGGUGUUUCGGUAUGAAAAUGUUCUUGAAAACCAGGUGCUUUCUCAAAGCUGAUCAGUCUAUCCUUUUUGUCCAUCUGUACAGGAAAUGAAACCCUGAAAAUCUACACAGACCUAUCCUGGUAGUAUAGCAGCCACUUCAAUGCAAUGCUAUUAAAUGUAAAUGACUUGAGUUUUAACUUAGAAAUACCUAUAUUCUGUGAAUGGUGGCAAAUAAUAUCUGCCUUAUAGUCCCUAAAUAGAUUAUUGGUCCUCAGGUAUUCAUGAGAUAGCUUUCAGUCACAACACUGGAACUUGGCCUAAGUGAACUUGUGUUGUAAAACACUGGAUUGAGCUGUGGACUUACCAACCAGGUCCCUGCCCUGGGGUGUGCGCAUGGAAACCCUUCCUAUCACAGCUGUCAACACGAGCUUGUAUUCUUUGCCUGCUUGGACCUACUGACUAGACUCUCAGAAUUCUAUCUGUAGGUUCACUUUGAUCACCCCAAAGUAAUGUUGAUAGGGAAGAUAUAUGUAAAUGCUAAAUUGUUAAUCUGCCUCUAUCAGUGAAAAAUGAAGUUCUUUGCCCGGGCAGAAUACACAAUGAAGAUGUUGUCAUUGUCUUUGAAGUUUUGUAGUUGAUUUCUUUCUGAAUAAAUUUGCUUGUUUCCAUUCC
rnacentral:lncRNA from 1 species